UGGGGAAUAUUGCGCAAUGGGGGGAACCCUGACGCAGCAACGCCGCGUGAAGGAAGAAGUAAUUCGUUAUGUAAACUUCUAUCAACGGGGAAGAAAGAGAUGACGGUACCCGAGUAAGAAGCCCCGGCUAAUUACGUGCCAGCAGCCGCGGUAAUACGUAAGGGGCGAGCGUUAUCCGGAAUUACUGGGUGUAAAGGGUGAGUAGGCGGCUAUGCAAGUCAUAUGUGAAAAACCGGGGCUCAACUUCGGUAGUGCAUAAGAAACUGGGUAGCUAGAGUGCAGGAGAGGCAAGCGGAAUUCCUAGUGUAGCGGUGAAAUGCGUAGAUAUUAGGAAGAACACCGGUGGCGAAGGCGGCUUGCUGGACUGAAACUGACGCUGAGUCACGAAAGCGUGGGGAGCGAACAGG
rnacentral:rRNA from 1 species